rnacentral:rRNA from 1 species
UACGUAGGGUGCAAGCGUUGUCCGGAAUUAUUGGGCGUAAAGAGCUCGUAGGCGGUCUGUUGCGUCGGCUGUGAAAACCCGGGGCUCAACUCCGGGCCUGCAGCCGAUACGGGCAGACUAGAGUUCGGCAGGGGAGACUGGAAUUCCUGGUGUAGCGGUGAAAUGCGCAGAUAUCAGGAGGAACACCGGUGGCGAAGGCGGGUCUCUGGGCCGAUACUGACGCUGAGACGCGAAAGCGUGGGGAGCAAACAGG